CUCCCAAGAACAUUUGCAGCCACUGGGUGGAGAACUUGUCUAACAAAAUAUCUCAUUAUGACAGAGUGAAAAUCAAUCCAACUUUACUUUGCUGGCUGGGCAAAUUUGUCUAAUACAGGUCAUAUAUUAGGCUCUUCUUUUUCAGUGGUCAACGUGGUUCAAUUUCCAGCUAGGACAUAAUUUGCACAAUAACCUGAAGUUGAAAUUAAUACUCAGAAACAAGCUGUACUGGGCUGAAGAAAAAUCCAUUAAGCUGUCUGCAUUAGAGGAAGAAGCUGACCAAUGGAGUUAAAGCACAUUUGUUAUACUGUAAGAAGAAAGUUUCAGACAAAUAUCACAGGAACCAGGAUGACACUCCAAUAAGUGUUUUUGUUGAGGAGCACAAACUCCACCAGCCUGGGAAUGACUAUGUCCUACAGAAAAGCAGACUUACACGCUUUGGAGUACAGGUAUCAACAUCAGGUAUAAUCCCCUGAAGAUGGAGGUGGGUUUCUCCUGUGGUUGAAGCGCUAACCCAGGACUCAGAAGAGAAGGGUUCAAUGUCCUGCUGUGUUACAGGUUUCUGGAGCAGGCAGUGUGAUAUUUCAUUUCACCAUCUCUGACAGAGACAUAAUUUCAUCUGUAUUCUAAGGAUUUUGUUCAGUUCAAGAAAAAAUAUUUCCUUGUAAAACAUCCAGUAAAUACUUAAAAGCAUAAAACGUUCCUGCUUACUGAAGGGAGGCAACAAAGACGUUACUCAAAGGAGAACUGAAACCAGAAAUAAUAACAUAUCAUGAGGAAAAUUCCUGCCACUGAAGUUCAAGAUAAAAUAGUCACCUUCAAAAGACAAUUAAGAACUUCGGGGGACUGAAAUCACCUUCAAGGGACACUCUGGGACAGUCAGUUUUUAAAUCUGGCCAUCUCAAUUAGAUAACCUCUUACCUCCGAAAGAAUGAAAGAGACAGAAGCAUCACAUGUGCAUUACAGAAAAUGGCUUCAGCCUACUAAUCGAACAAAGCUGGAAGACCUGUGGGACAGUAAGACUCAGCUCCAUCCUUCAUUCAUUCUCUAGCGGGCCAAGCAGUGUUUGUGGGGUUUUCUGGUUAACUCCUGACUUCUCAACACAGCAGAAUUCAACAAGGGUUACAGAAAGAUUUGGUUUCAUCAAAAUAAGGGAACUUUUUACAUUUUUUGUUCAGUGUCUCAUGAGGUCUGAAAAGGCAACAAAGAACAGUUGAAUUUGUUUCAUGUCUUUUCCAACGAGCAGUGCCUGGGAAGGACAUCACUUCUGAAGCAGAGCUGUAAGCAUCAUUGCUCCUGCCUUGAAUAGUAGAGUGGUUUAUCUUUGUUUUUGAGGUUCUGAAGUUUCCAUAGUCCAGAAGGCUUUGGGUGUAAUUUCAGUCCACUGGACAUAAUUUCUAUGCAGCUGUAAUCACAGUUCUGGAAAGCUCUGGGACCCAUCAGAGUGGGAUUUUUCUUCCAUUCCCAGUCGUUUUUCCAAAUGAGAAGAUUUUUGUUUACCUGCUGGUGGUGGAAUGAAAGAUUCAAAACAGCAGUUGUUUUUGUUUUGGAUUUACAAUCCAUCUCUAAAAUAUUAAGAUGGGAAAAGGUAGUUAUAGUAGUGGUAACAAUAACAAUAGCAACAAUAGCAACAAUAGUAACAACAACAACAACAACAACAACAACAACAACAAUAAUAAUAAUAAUAAUAGCAAUAACAAAUAAUGAAACUAAGCCAGUGAGUUUUGCUUGAAUUGAGAGGAAAAGGACAGCAGCUGUCACUGCUGUUAAGAAUAAUUUAUAUAUUGUCUAUUGUCUGAUUUCUCCUUUUGGGGUUAUAAGUGUUGACAAGUUAACAUCAGGGCAAAGGUACAUUGGGCUGUCAAGUUUCUAUUUUCUGCUUCUUGCUCUUCCACAAAGUGCUACGGAGAUUGAUUGAUAAGAUUUUAAAGAGUUUAGUUGCAUCACAAUGACACAGUCUUCAAUAUGAAUUAAAAUAAUAAAAUUGUUUGUUUAACUUGUUUUUGUGUUGACAGGAUCUUUGCACUCCAGGCAAUCACUUUGUUUUCCUUACAGCUUUGUUCUUUAGUCACCCAAAUGUGGAAUGUCACUCAACCUUGUCAUAUUUUUUUCUUGAUGUUCCUUAUUAGUCUCUGCCAUUCUUUUCAGGAAUCUAACAAAUGUGGAUACCCUUUGUCAGUCAGUUGUUCUGGUUUUUGCCAUUUUAAGCUUCUUCUCCCAAUAACACGUUAACAGAUUUUCUUAGUGGACAUGAGCUUUACUUCAUAAGAUACCAGUUAAGUCUUUGAGUAAUCACUAGUGUGAUCAUCUAAUUAAAUUUCUGUAGAUGUCCCAAAUGAAAAUUACAUAUUUGAACCCACAGUUUAUAGUCACCCACAGUUUCAUUUUAACACAGCUCUAAAUUUUUUGAGGGAAUUUGGAAGUGAUAAUACAAUUAAGGGUCUUGCUGAGCUUCAGCUCUUUCUGAAAAUGAGAUCUAAAUGUUUUCAGAAUAACAUUUAGAUAAUCAUCCAAAAUUCUGAGCAUCUUUCACACACGGAACUGUCCCACUGAACCUUUCCAGUCUCAUCUCUUGCACAUACAUUUUUGAUCUCUGUUUUACUACAUCUUUUAUACUCACUUUAGUAUGGCAUUCAAAUUCAUAUUGCAUCGGCUGUAAUUUUAAUAUAUAGAGAGAGCUGAGAUGAAAUAUCAAAAGGAACACAAAAAAGGAUAUAAUCUGGAACUGAAGACAUCAUAAACCAACAUAAUUUCAGGCAAAUUAUGUAUGAUACAGGAAGACUCAGUCAUGACGUGAUGACCUAGAUUAAAUUUCUGAAAAUAGUCAGGAAAAAGUUGUAUCAGAGCAAAAA